rnacentral:misc_RNA from 1 species
UUUCCGUAGGUGAACCUGCGGAAGGAUCAUUAUCGUACAACGUGUGAUGGCCCUGCGAGGGCUGUCACUGACCUAAAAGUCGUUCACACCCGAGCGUGUUCUCUUACAUAAUAAUCCCUCUCACCCUUAGUGCAUCACCGCGUGUGUACCCAUUGGUAUCAUCUCACAAGUGAAAUCACGAUUUCACACAACCGCUCCCUUUACAAGCGUAUAAUGACAACACUCAUCCGAUCAAUACAACUUUCAACAACAGAUCACUUGCCUCUCGCGUCGAUGUAA